rnacentral:rRNA from 1 species
AUGUUGAGAUGGUUUAAUGAUGAAUAUUGUCAAUCUUUUCAUAUGAAUAAGAGCUUCACUUAUAUGUGCAAACUGAGUUGCAAUACUUUCAUGCCUUCUACUUCUUGUGAUAAUAUUUUGGCUUUAUAUUUUAUUAACUAUGAAAGUUACUCAUGUAUACAUGUGUCAUAUGUGCAAAAUCCACGGGAAGUAAAAAUGGAUGACAUAUACAUAUACAACAUGUACACCUUGUCUCUUUUGUUAGCCACAUUUCAGAUUAAGCAACGCCGAGGACGGCUUUGUUUUCAAGAAGGGGAGGAUGAUGAGGACAUGACUACCUUGGAUACGACCAAAAAUAUUGCAUACAUGCAUAUUUGUCAGGUGAUUUCUAGUGCAAACUAUUCAAUAAUCUAUUUAUGUUAUUCAGAACAAAAAUACUUCACACACUUUUGUGUUUUGUCUAAUUGCAGGUGUAUGGGACAUUUGUACAAUCCACAUAUGAAGAUAAGGCAAAAGGAGAAGUUUAGGUUCUGUUCAAAAAGUCCUCUCACGUCACUUUUGGGCCAAGAGAAGAUAGAGUCCAAGUCUCUCACGUUCUGGAUUCAGAUUCGGACUGCACAGACAUACCUGACUCAAAACGCCAACAACUUUUUCAUACGGACUCCGAAUUGGGUGAUUCUUUUUUUGUUGGAAACUAGAUUUCGUGCUCUUUCCAACCCAAUUGGAUUCACCUUUAAAUUCGUCCGGAGCAUUGAGUUAUGGUCGAAACAAUCUGACGUUGCACCAGAAUCCGAGUCAAACUACAAGUCCAAAGGUGUUGCAUCACCUCCACUUGGGUCCAUGAGCCUUGUACGACCUAGGGUUGGUUUUAGGCUGCCUUGGGACGUCCUCCCACCUCCUUGGCCGCCACCCCUUGCUCCUAUAUAA